CAAAGGUUUGGUCCUGGCCUUCCUAUUAGUUAUUGACAGAAUUACACAUGCAAGCCUCCACAUCCCGGUGAAGAUGCCCUCUAAAUCUAUUAAACGAUUAAAAGGAGCGGGCAUCAGGCACACUAAAUAAGUAGCCCAUAACGCCUUGCUCAACCACACCCCCACGGGAUACAGCAGUGAUAAAAAUUAAGCCAUGAACGAAAGUUUGACUAAGCCAUGUUAAUAUUAAGAGUUGGUAAAUUUCGUGCCAGCCACCGCGGUCAUACGAUUAACCCGAAUUAAUAGGCUCACGGCGUAAAACGUGCUAAGGAUUACAAAACACUAAAGUUAAAAUUUAACCAGGCCGUAAAAAGCUACUGUUAAUAUAAAAUAUACCACGAAAGUGACUUUAUCAUCUCCAACAACACGAUAGCUGGGACCCAAACUGGGAUUAGAUACCCCACUAUGCCCAGCCCUAAACACAAACAAUUUACACAACAAAAU
rnacentral:rRNA from 1 species